UUUAAUGAAAAUUUAUCACUUAUAUUAUUAAUUGUUUGGUUGCCUACUAUUAUUCAUGAAAUUUAGUAAUUCCUCACAAAUUACUUACAAAGGAUGAAAUUCUAAAGAAAAUUAAGGAGGGUCUAUAUCAAAAAUCCUACUGUUUUUCUCAUCCAUAGGACCCAGAUGGUAGCGGCCACCGAUGCCCACAAAAGGAUGCUAGCUUUGGGCCAGGGAAAAGGAUGGAGGGAGCUGAAGAGGAGGACCUUCUUUCAAGGUUGGCAAGCCUUGCUCUUUUCAUGACAAGUCCGCAUUACCCAGGCCUCCCUUUGGAGACCACCAAAUCCAAGGCAGAACAAGCUGAACUUUGACGGUUGCUCCUUGGGCAACCCCGUCCCCUCAGGAAUUGAUCUUGAAAAUGAGGCGGGGUCAUAUACUCGCCUCCUUCUCCAAAAGCAUGAGACACUAGGACUCCCAUACAGCAGAGGCCCUCACUCUCCUUGAAGGCAUCAGAUUGUUUAGUCCCUUGUGAAGGCAUCAGAUUGUUUAGUCCCUUGAAGGCAUCACUCUCCAAAUGUAUUGGAAUAAAUUAAAAAAAUUAACAAUAAAGUACUAGAAAAAAUACCAACAUUUGAGAAUGCAACGCUAGCAUGCCUGGCGGUCUACUUCAAUCAACAUUAUCCAUUAACAAGAAAAGUUAAAUUAAUUUUCGAUUUCAAUUGAGAACAAAUAUUUUAAAAUAAAGAACCUAAAAAUAAAAUCAUUUUAUAAACCAACAGAUAGAAGUGCAUGGAAAAGACUAUUAAACAAAGAAAACGAAGGCAUAGAUUUCCACCGACUUCAACUUCAGUGUUAGAUCUACAUAUUUAGUGAUGCACCCAACAAUCAACAAGAAACACUAAGCAUGAAUAUUUCAUCAAAUACCUAAAAAUUUAAACUAAGCUAGAUAUCAAAGAGAAGAAAUAGUAAAAUAAUAAUAAUAAUCAGAAAACACACAACUAUCCAAUAAAAAAAUACAAAAUAAUGUAUUUAUCAAAGAGAAAAUUUAGAAAAGUGGUAAUCAGUCGAUUCAACAUAGGAAAAUUGUUACAUGCGAGCUGGACCGUAUUUCGACACAUGCGAUCUAGAAAGUGUAAAGCAUCCAUCUUAAAGAUGGAUGAAAAUAGGUGUUCCAUCUAAAAAUAAUGGAAUUUUUUUACUAGAAUUAUUAUUCUAGUUUUUAAAUUUUAUUUAUUUUUUCAUACUCAUGAUCUCCAUGUUAGAUAUUACGUGUCCUUAAAAAUUAGGUCUUAAAAUCCAUCUCAAAAAUAGAUUUAUUAAGAGGUCCACAUUUCUACCUAUGCCGGCUUGGCUGCAUAGAAACUGUGUCCUUCAACUUAUGGGAGGCUCUCUCCGACAUAUUUGGGUAAUUAUCGAUUCAACAAGUAAAUUGGACAAGGAAUGAACAAAAGCUAAAAUUUAUCUCAUUCAAAUAGUAUGCAGUGGUUUAAAGUCUGGCGAUUUUCGGUGGGAACCGAUUGGUCCAAACCGAUCUAGGAUGACCUGGGUCCUGGCCUGGUUCCCCUAAAACGCCCGCUUUCAUAAUCAUUAUAUAUAUAUAUAUAUAUAUCUUGUUUUUUAAGCUUAUAUAAUGUUUUUUCAACCCCACAAAUCCCUAUAUUAAUUUUUAUUUUGUUUUAUUUAUUUUAAUAUUUUUAUAUAUCACCAAUUCAAACUGAUCACACCGAUACAGAUUGCCGAUCUAACAAUCCAUCACAAAUAUGCAGGUGAAUGAUCCACCCCACCGAUCCGGUUUUUCAGACGUUGAUAUGUAGCAUAAACAUCAAAUUUCUAUGAAGACAACCAUUGUCGAGGUAACCCCAAGUCUUCGCAGGAAAAAAACACUCGCUCCAAGUUCCAAGUUUCCCUUUCCCAUUAUAACACAUGGGAGAAUCAACGAGAGGUACAUAAUAAUCCAUAAUACAUGUACAUCAUCCCCUUCCAAAGAACUAGUACAUCAUCAUAAAGCCAAAGGAAAGUAAAGGAGGAACAGUGACUAAGCAAUGCAUAUUGAUAUCGAAAAAAUCAAAUCAUUGUUCCAAAAAGCGGGCCGCCCAGAGCCUAGGCAAUUCAGAUGGCAUGAGCGCAACACCCACGCCUAGACGGCCAAACCUAGGCAAUAGGGAACCCUCCUAAGUGGGCACCAGCCCUAGGAGCCUCCCAAGGCUUGCGCUCUGGCUAGGGGCUGAAAUUUUUUUUUUUUUUUUCUAUUGAUUGUUUUUAAAACAUAAAGGCUUUUAACGAUGGGUUAUGUAAAACAAAAAUAUGAACAAAAUCCUUGUCGUUUGAAUAGAUCUAUUUCUGGUUCCUCUAAAAGAAGUAAUUGGAGUUGGAAGUAUGGCUAUAACCCAAAGGGAAAAGUUUAUAUAGAGCCGAAGCUCUAAACAAAACAAUCAAAUUUGAGCCUACCUCAAAAAUUUCGCUAGAAGAUAAUGUUUUGAAGCCCAAAUAUCUUUAAAUCGAUUAUCUCGACAUCAAGAUGCAUGGACAUGAGAAAAAAUUGGAUUUCGAGUUUUGGAAAUAGUGUAUUUUGUAACGCAUUUUUUUACUGUCAAUUUUCAAGAUUUUCAAGUUUUCAUAGAAAUGUUGAUCUACACUUAAUUUUGAAGCUUUAAAAUUUAUAAAUAAAUAUAAAAAUAUAUUUUAAGUCUAUUACAAAGAUUUCCGAUAGUGAAACCACAUUUCUCGAUACUAUUUGAAGGUAGGCUCCAAUUUAAUUGUUUAGAGCCUAGGCUCUAUACAAACCGCACCCUAACCCAAAACCAAACAAUAAAAAUUGUAUAAGGUGAAAUUUUUGUGAAACAUAUACCAACGGGAGUAUUAACCGAUUCAAAAAACACCUUGCUGUAUUAAAGGGAAUGUUGCUUCUUGUAAAAAAGGUCCUGAAGCUAUUCGGGAUGAGAUUAGACAAUUUCUGAAUUUAAAAGAACCAAAAAAUGAUGAAAAUGAGUCUUGUUCUAUGGAAAUAUCUUCUCUAGAUUCUUCUAGAAGUGGUAAUCCAAGUUGAAAGUAUGGUUAUAACGCGAAUCCAAAUGACAAAAAUCGUAUUAAAUGUAAUUAUUGUAGAAAUGAUACUAAUUGAGGCAUUUACCGAUUUAAAAAAAUACCUUGCCCGUAUUAAAGGAGAUGUUGCCCCACAUAAAAAUGUUCUUGAGGCUACCAAAGAGGAUAUUAUACAAUAUUUGAGUUUAGGGAACACCAAAAUGUUCAUAGGGCCUCAUCUGUACAUACUAGUAAAAGGGAGAUACAAGAAGAGGAGCAGAAAGAUGCAGAUUCAGAAAAAACAGAGGAUGACAAGAGUUAUAUUAAAGAGAGAGAUGACUCUGAUGAUGAUGUCCUCGAAUCUGAUGCACAUAAUGACGCUUACCCUAUUCCUUCUAAUGAUGAUGAUGAUGACAACAGAAGAUUCUUGGUAUUGAGUGUUGACUGUUGUGUUGAGUGUUGACUGUUGAUUGUUGACUAUUGUGUCCUAGACUAUAUAUUUAAUUAAUUUCUGUAUAUAGUUUUUUUUCUUAUUUUUAGUUUCUAUUUUCUAGUUUCUAAUUCUACUAUCUAACUUUUGUGUGUACAGUCUACAGUGUAUCAGAUUAUCAAUGUAUGCUUGUAUGGUUUUAUUGUUUUAGCAUUGUAUGAAAAAUGAAAAUAUGGAUUGUGGUCUCCUAUGGAUUAUCAAAAUCUCUUAUCAACUUCUAUCUUCUUCUUUUUUCAACGUGGAUUAUGGACUUAUAGAUUAUCAAAAUUCUUAUGGAUUAAUCUUUAUCAGAUUAUCUUUUUUGUUUUUUUCAACUGGGUCACCCAGGUUCUGGGCGCUCGCCUAGGUGCUAGGCGGCUGUAACCCCCAUGGCCGCCUGGGUGCCGCCUAGCGCUUUUUAAAACACUGAAUCAAAUUUAAGAUACUUUGCAGCAUUGUGCAUAUACCUAUCACUAAAAUAACAUAGUUCGGGAAACCCAUGAAAGUGAAAUCAACAUAGAACCAUGUAAUACAAAAGGCAAACAUUUCUACUUUCCAAUAAUGGGAAUGCAAUUACAAUAUCUAGCUUAGACAAGAUUAAUACCUACCUCUUCAUCAAGCUCAUCAAUAUUCAUUUUCUUAUCAAGACUAGACUUGAGAACCUGAAAGCCUUCAACUUCAACACACGCCACGUGCUCCAUGGAAGCAUUUGGGAUAGAUAAAGCAUUGUUCCUCCCCAUUGCUUGUGGUAUAAUAUAUAGCAUCUCUCUUGACAUAGAGACUACAAAGAUUACAAUACACAGCAAAAAUUAAUAUAUUUACCCUUGCAGAGGUCACAAUCCGAUAUCCCAAUAAACACCUGACUGCAGAUUUUUACUUACAGUUGCCUUUCAUGGGUUCAAUAGCAUCUCAUGAAUCUCAUCAUCUACCCACAAGCAUACCUAUUGGAUUUAGAUGGAAUAGGCAGCUAAAAAAAAAUUUGGACAGAGGUGGAUGACCCAAGAUACCACUCACGGUUCCUUUGAGGGCUUAAUGGACUGAAAGCAUAUCAUGAAUUGUGCACCGGAAGAAAUUAUGGCUAUAAAUAGAAGCCCAUGCGCAUUAUCACAUUGUGGCAUCUGCCACCCUGACCACCCCACGCCACAAAGUUUCUAUUACAAGUACCAAAGUUUCAUAUCAACCUUUCUGUUGGCCAAAUCACCAAGUUGUCAUAAUGUAAAGGAAGAUCAUUACAAGUUUGAAUUGAAAUAGCUUUUGAGUUACAUAACAACAAUGAUGAUUCCGUGCGAGUGCAAUAUAUCAAGCUCCUACCACCUCCAUCAAAUUACUCAUGAAAGAUUAAGAUGUACCGAAACUGCUAUAUAAUAAUUAUUUUAUAAAGGUAAAGUAAACUAAAUCUAAAUAGAACUGGUCUUCUAUAUUAGCAGACAAACACUUUCAGAAUAGCACCAAAAAUAAGGUCUAAUCCUCUACAACUUAGGCAGGAGCACCUCUAGAAACCCCAAGGGAAGAGAAGAAUCAUGCUACAUCCUCAGAAAGAGAACUUCUAAAGAGGUGAAUCACACUAAGGACCACAUUCUAGGAGCUCAACCACAGCAUAUUAGAAUAUCCAACUAUUCUAGAAGCCCUUAGAUGCACUGUCCUAGAUCACAAAUGUAAAAGAAUGCAAUUAAACAGUAAUAUGGUUAAAUUUUAAUAAAGACUAUGCAACAUGUGGGUUCUGUUCCAUUUCCCAUUUUUCUCCAUGGUUAAGGAACCAUCAAACAUCCUUGGAGUAUCCCCAAGUUCAACAAAAGCAGGCUCAUCAAUCCGACCACUUGCUUUUACUUGCUCAGGAUGAGGAACAUCUGACAUUUGAGACAACAAGCUUUGGCAAGUAUUGGGUUGUCAAAGAUUGUUCAACCUCAUUCUUUUUAGUGGGUACUGCACAUCCCCCAAAAUCUCGGAUCUCAUUGCCUCUUUAUUGCUCCCUGUCAAAUCCACCUUCCCAAAAUUUGAUGGCUGGUCCAAAGAUGCCUUUUGUCGAAAUGUAACCGGCGAGUAUAACCACAAAGAAAGCAGACAUGGUCGCUACAAUGACAAGAGUGCCCCCGCAAUUUCCAUAGUGGCUGGCAAAGGGGAAGGAAACGUUGAACUUAUUUGCAAUAGAAAUGUGCAUCCAAAUCCUUUGAGCAUUUAGAAAAUAACAAUAUGCAGAUUGGCCUUUUUUUGCCGAACAUUUGCUGCCAUGGUGCAAAUAAACCAGCCACUGAGCAUUUAAGUGUUCCAAUCUUCAGUAGCAGGCUUUUCAAGCACUUGGGUUCAAGCAGGAGAAGCUUUCAAAACGGGGUAUUGCAUUGAAACAAAAAAUCACGCAUUUAAAGGUCCCCCAUGUAAAAGAACAGAUUUUCUAAGAACUUCGUCACUGCACUGCUGCUUCAUCAAUGGAUAUCGUGGCUGGUCAGACUAAUGCAAUCCUUAGAGACAGUUCUAAAACUUGAAUGUGAUUCUUGGCUUUGAGUUUGUUAUAACGCUCCCCAUAUGGCAUGAAGAAGCCACCAGCAUUCAAGGGACGUAAAACCCCGUAUCAUACCAUACAACAUCAUGUACACCCAUCAAUUUGCCAUCAUAACAGAGGGUUACCUCAAGUAACCCUGCAACAAGGGCAGCCUCAAAAAUCUCAGAUGAAAGAAAAUUCAAAAAAAUGAAAAGACCAAAGAAAACCAUCAGAUAAAUAUUUCCAAAAUAUACUUCCAAGUAUAUUUUUUCUUUUUUUUUGGUUGGGUAGUUGUUGUUUGGGGGGUGUUGUUCUUUAGAAAUGUCAGAUAAAAGCAAAUUUAAGAAAGAUGAAAAGAAACUAGGAGGUCAUCCAAGAAAUAUUUCUGACAAGUAAGCCUGAAUUGGGGGGUUCCUUAAAAAAGAAAAACUUGUGUUCAAGCAAAUUUAAGAAAAUGAAAAGAACCAAAGGAAUCAUCUAAUGAUGUUUCUGAACAUGCUUUCAAGUAAACCUACCGUGGGGUUUUCUUUAAGAACAUCACAAAAAAGCAAAUUCAUAGGAAAAAACAAACUUUACAAUGGGUGUUUCUAUAAUAGUUUUUGGUCAAAGAAAAUUCAAGAACAAAGAAAAUAACUCUGACAAUCUCAGAUAAAAAGCAAAUUCAAUAAAUGAGCAAAUUUAAUAAAUGAACUGACUAUCAAUGAAAUAUUCUAGUCUAAUGUAACCACACAAUUAGGGAUUCUUUACAAUAUCAUGUAAAGGAGAACUUGAGAAAAAUAGAUAACCAAGGAAACCAUCCAAUGAGUACUAUAGGGACAUGCAAAUUCCCCCCAAUGGUACAAUAAUUUAUAGUAAUACAAUUUUAACAUUCGCAAAAAAAAAAAAAAGAGAUUCCCACCAAUGGGGCAUUCUCUGAAUAUAUCAGCUCAUGAUAGAGAUAAGAACAUAUAUAUCCAUGAAUUUGACUAAAACGUUGAAAGAGAAAUCAAUGAAUAAUUCAUGAAUACUCCUGUCUUUUCUUGGUGUCAAUCUCAUUCAUGAAUAUUUCAAAAACAUGAUUAUCCCAGUUUACCUAGAAUGAGUGUUCCUCUGAUAAUCUCAGAUAAAGACGCAAGAACAAAAAACCAAACAUCCGUGAGACACUCCAGUUUAAAGCAAAUUAAUAUCAUGUAAAAUUGAAUUCCAUGAAAAAAAAGAGAAAAAGAAGCAAACAACAAGCAUGAAUCAUACCAGUGGUCUCUGCGAUUGCUCCAAUCAACAAUAACUGUUGAGGUAGAUCAGGAUUUAGGAAAUCCAUGCCCUAGGGUUUUCCACACAAAAUUCUCUCUUGUGGGUUUUCAUAUACCAGAAAACUUCAUCUUCUUUUUAGGUUUCUUUUUCUUUUUCCUUUGUUUCCCUCUCCCUUUGCUCUUCGCGAAUUUAUAUUUCCUUCAGGGGCAAGAAAAAGGCGGGAGAGACUUCACGGGAGUGGUAAUUUUUAAGGAAAAAGUUUAUACAUAGCCGAGGCUCUAAACAAUAAAAUUAGAAUUGAAAUUUUCAUUAGAAGAUGUUGUUUUGAUGCCCAAAUGUCCUCGAAUUGAUCAUCUAGGCAUCAAGAUGCUUGGAUAUGAGAAAAAGAAUGAAUUUCAAGUUUUGAAAAUAGUGUAUUUUGUAACUCAUUUUUGGACGGUCAAUUUUCAAGAUUUUCAAGUUUUCGUAGACCUGUCGAUCUACACUAUUUUUUAAGCAUUAAAAUUCAUAAAUAAAGAUAAAAUUAUAUUUUAAAACUAUCAUAAAGAUUUCCAGUAUUAAAACUACAUUUCUCGAUACUAUUUGAAAGUAGGCUCUAAUUUAAUUGUUUAGAGCCUACUAUACAAACCGCACCCAAAUUUUAAACCUUUGAUAACAUAGAUUGGUGGGUAGAUUAUCCACCCCACAGAUCCAUGUGGGACAACCGGAUCGCCGAUCCCAAUCGAUGUAGAUCGAUCCGAAUGGCGAUUUGAGAAACUACUAAAAAGUAAAAGUAUAAAUAAAAUAAGAAGGGAACAAGAUGGACAGUUUUUAAGGAUCAAAAUUUAUUUUCCUCUCAAUAGUCAUGAACUUGGCGUUUGAGAUGACAGACAUAUAAAAUAUUGAGCCCAAAGACGUGCAUCCUCGACACACCUAAACCCUACACAUAAAUGGUACUUAUUUGAUGCUAAGGUUUGUGCACACCAAAAGGCACCUAUUAUAAAAUUUAUUUUGGGGAUGGAUUUAUGAUUUAAAGUACAAUUUAAUUCAAAUUUCGGGUUUCUUGGCAUCCUAGUUAGGUGAUUGUAGUCUACAAUGGAGGCCAACAGAGGGAAUAAAAUGCAAAUUUCUCAUAUCAUUUGCUUUCUGAGUUUUGAUUCCAUCAAAAGGCUGUAGAAGCUUGGCAUGUAAACUUCUUUUCAAUCAAUUCACUUGAUCAUUUAUUUCUACUUUUUUGGGUUUACUUUUUACAUUCAAAACUAAGGGAAUGCAUGAGUCAAUGGACACAUCAAAUACUUUUCCUUUAUUUCAUUGUGUAAACAACAUUCUAUUGCGUUAUAAGGCACAACCUCUGUGACAAUCGAAAUUGGAGGGUUGACAUUGUUACUAGGCUUCACUUAUUGGCCGAUCUUGAGAACAGGACAGUCAGUAGGCGAAAUGUUUGAAAGCCACUACAAGGGGAGGGGGCUGGGUAAAACUCAAUUUCAAUGGGUGUUAGAGAGUUGACAUUGGCUGCUGGUUUUGGGGGUUUGUUCCGUGAUCACAAUGGCAACAGCAUUUGGACGCAUCAUGGAAGACUUCCGAUGUGCACAACCAAUGAAGCUGAACCGCGAUCACUACUAGAAGGCUCUUGAGACUGCAGCGAGAGCACCAGAGAGUCAUAGCAGAGGGAGACUCUAUAAAUGUCAUAAGGUGGUGCCAAGACAAAUUUGGAGAAGUACUUUUUUGUUCUGCUGUACAUGGUCUCAUUGUACAUCUCAGUUUUCACAUAGUGGAAAAGUUAGCAAAUGUUAAAAAAAAUAACAAUCAAAAUAAAUAAAUGGAGUCCAUUUUUCAAGGUAAUUAUCUACCAUACUUUCACUCUGUUUUGAGGGGUUCCCAGUGUCAUGAUUACGACUUUUUUGGUGAAGAGGCUUAUUUGCUUGGAAUUAUUCAGUUUCCACCAAUAAUCUUUGAGAAUCAAUGUACAACAUAUUUUUGGCAUGUUAAAGAGAUGAUUCCUUAUCUUCAAAACUUCACAAAUGUACAACAUCCAAACAUAGGUUAAAAUUGACGCAACCUGAUGUAUUUUACAUGAUCUCUUGCAGGAUACAUAACUUUGAUUGAGG
rnacentral:lncRNA from 1 species